rnacentral:rRNA from 1 species
GACGUAGGGGGCUAGCGUUGUCCGGAAUCAUUGGGCGUAAAGCGCGUGUAGGCGGUCCGGUAAGUCCGCUGUGAAAGUCGAGGGCUCAACCCUCGAAUGCCGGUGGAUACUGUCGGGCUUGAGUUCGGUAGGGGACCACGGAAUUCCUGGUGUAGCGGUGAAAUGCGCAGAUAUCAGGAGGAACACCAGUGGCGAAGGCGGUGGUCUGGGCCGAUACUGACGCUGUAGAGCGAAAGCGUGGGGAGCGAACAGG